rnacentral:rRNA from 1 species
GACGAACGCUGGCGGCGUGCCUAAUACAUGCAAGUAGAACGCUGAAGGAGGAGCUUGCUCUUCUGGAUGAGUUGCGAACGGGUGAGUAACGCGUAGGUAACCUGCCUGGUAGCGGGGGAUAACUAUUGGAAACGAUAGCUAAUACCGCAUAAGAGUAGAUGUUGCAUGACAUUUACUUAAAAGGUGCAAUUGCAUCACUACCAGAUGGACCUGCGUUGUAUUAGCUAGUUGGUGGGGUAACGGCUUACCAAGGCGACGAUACAUAGCCGACCUGAGAGGGUGAUCGGCCACACUGGGACUGAGACACGGCCCAGACUCCUACGGGAGGCAGCAGUAGGGAAUCUUCGGCAAUGGACGGAAGUCUGACCGAGCAACGCCGCGUGAGUGAAGAAGGUUUUCGGAUCGUAAAGCUCUGUUGUAAGAGAAGAACGAGUGUGAGAGUGGAAAGUUCACACUGUGACGGUAUCUUACCAGAAGGGGACGGCUAACUACGUG